rnacentral:rRNA from 1 species
UACGUAGGGUGCGAGCGUUGUCCGGAAUUAUUGGGCGUAAAGGGCUCGUAGGUGGCCAACUAAGUCAGACGUGAAAUCCCUCGGCUUAACCGGGGAACUGCGUCCGAUACUGGCAGGCUGGAAUCCGGGAGAGGGAUGUGGAAUUCCAGGUGUAGCGGUGAAAUGCGUAGAUAUCUGGAGGAACACCGGUGGCGAAGGCGGCAUCCUGGACCGGUAUUGACGCUGAGGCGCGAAAGCUAGGGGAGCAAACGGG